rnacentral:tRNA from 1 species
GGAGCAUAGCUCAGCUGGGAGAGCAUAUGCCUUACAAGCAUAGGGUCACAGGUUCGAUCCCUGUUGCUCCCACCA